rnacentral:tRNA from 1 species
AUCCCGCAUACCUAAGUGGACAUAGCAUCUGCCCGGUAAGCGGAACACUGUGGGUUCGAUUCCCAUCCAUGGAUA